rnacentral:rRNA from 1 species
UUGAACGCUGGCGGCAGGCCUAACACAUGCAAGUCGCACGGUAACAGGAAACAGCUUGCUGUUUCGCUGACGAGUGGCGGACGGGUGAGUAAUGUCUGGGAAACUGCCUGAUGGAGGGGGAUAACUACUGGAAACGGUAGCUAAUACCGCAUAACGUCGCAAGACCAAAGAGGGGGACCUUCGGGCCUCUUGCCAUCGGAUGUGCCCAGAUGGGAUUAGCUAGUAGGUGGGGUAACGGCUCACCUAGGCGACGAUCCCUAGCUGGUCUGAGAGGAUGACCAGCCACACUGGAACUGAGACACGGUCCAGACUCCUACGGGAGGCAGCAGUGGGGAAUAUUGCACAAUGGGCGCAAGCCUGAUGCAGCCAUGCCGCGUGUAUGAAGAAGGCCUUCGGGUUGUAAAGUACUUUCAGCGGGGAGGAAGGGAGUAAAGUUAAUACCUUUGCUCAUUGACGUUACCCGCAGAAGAAGCACCGGCUAACUCCGUG